rnacentral:rRNA from 1 species
ACGUAAAACCAAAUCACCUUAAAGCCACGCUGUCUCGUCAGAUCCCAAAAGCGAAGCAAGGUUUAGAUCUGGUUAGCACUUGGAUGGGUGACCACCACCGGGGAUUGCUAGGUGUCGUA